UGAUGGGAAGAUGUAGAGAGAAGAUGUCCAUCUACAAGCCAAGGAGAGAGACCUGGAACAGAUUCUCCCUCCCAGCGUCGAUUCCAGUCCUCAGAAGGAACCAACACUGCUGACACCUUGAUUGCAGACUUGCAGCCUCCAGAACUAUUGUUUCAGAAUUUUAGGCUCCGGAAUACUAAUCAUCCUGGUUUUUGGGGUCCAGAAAGUAAAGGCUCAUCCUUGUUCUGAAGUGACCUCACAUUCUAAAAGGUUCCAGAUGAUUGGACCACUUUCUCCCUCCCAGUGAAUUUCCAUUGGAGGCAACUGGAUCCACAAGCAAAGAUGUAUGAUCAGAAAUGCUUCCUGCUACUUGAAUACUAUAGAAAAAAACUGGUAACAACCUGAAUGUCCAAUUAUAGGGGAUUGGUAGAAAAGUAACUGAUGGGACUUCCCUGGUGGUGCAGUGGUUAAGAAUCCACCUGCCAAUGUAGGGGACACGGGUUCGAGCCCUGGUCUGGGAAGAUCCCACAUGCCACGGAGCAACUAAGCCCACAAACCACAACUACUGAGCCUGCAUGCCUAGAACCCGUGCUCUGCAACAAGAGAAGCCACUACAAUGAGAAGCCCAUACACUGCAAUGAAGAGUAGCCCCCCCUCACUGGAACUAGAGAGAGCCUGCACGCAGCAACAAAGACCCAACACAGCCAAAAAUAAAUAAAUAAAUAGAAAAAAAAAAAAAAAGUAACUGAGAGCCUUGGACCUGGAGCCAGAGGCCCUGAGUCCUAAUGCUUGCAUUUCUAUAUUCUGCUUGGUGACCUCAGGAUUUCUUCUCGAACGUGAGAAACUACAAGAGACUCUUGUUUACCCUGCAGCUCGUUAACUUGAUUUUGGAAAUGUUUUAUAAGUACCUAGGAAAUUAUGUUAGAAGUACUGAGUUAAUAAAGCUUUUCCUUGAACAUUAUUUGAAAACUAUAAGAAAGUGAGCUAAUGACUUGUUUGUAUUAAAAAA